GCAUCAAGGAAGAUGUCAUGGGAGAGAGCUGGUGGGGGUGUGGGCAGGCAGGGGAGAUGUCACUGGCAAGGCAUGAAUUGAGGAAAAUGAGAAAAACAGCUGACUGGAGUCUUGGGAAAUAAGGUGGGAUAGACAAGGGUAAGGCCAGAGCAUGGCAUGCUCAGUGGGCCAGACGAGGAGCUGAGAUGUGAUGCAUGUGCUGAACUGAGUUCUUAUCUGUGGAUGCGGAGUUCACGGAAGAGCUCCCUGGCUGGGGAAGAUGACUUGAAGGAUGACUCUGAGUCUUUGACUUUCCUCCUGAUUGGUUUCUCCCUUUGCAGUGUGUGCCUGGGGAUGGGGGGCUGAUGACCCAUGUGUUGUGCUGAUGAUGUGCAGCAGAUGUGACUGCCGGGACAGCAGUGAGAAGGCCAGCUCCAAGGAGAAAUCCGUGGCAGAGAAACCCUAGUGCCUUCUGAUGGGAAAGCAAACUAAGCGAGAGCAGAAUGUGCAGGUGCUCCUCAACUGCAGAGUCCUUUGGUGACAGAUGAAUUCAAACAUGUCUGAUUGCUGAUCUAACUGUCCAAAGUGAUACUUAGCUCCUUGCGAUAGCUAACAGACUGUACUGUGGCACAGGUCAUGCACAGUGUGUUGUGCGAGGCAGCAAAGCAUAUCUACCUAUGCCUCCAUCUUGGCUGGAAGUUAACAAAGAGGAGUUCUUGGUUUGUGGAUACCUUUGCAAACAGCAGACUGCUGAUGGUGUUCUACUGACAGUUUGGAAAUGGUGUACAAUUUCUUUUCAAGCUUCAUAUCCUUGCAGAGGAGCUCCUGUGAUGCUUGAUUGGGCAUCUGACAUUACUUUAGUGCAAAUGGAAGCAUUUCAGAUAUAUUCACUUGCUGCAUUUAACACAGGCAUUUUCUGGCUUUUCCAAAAAUCCUGAGAGAGAGGUUCUGUUGGUAGCCAUAAAAAUCAUCAACUUUGUCAAAAGCUGGUCUUUAAGUUAUAGUAUUUUUAUAGGUUUUGUCAAGAAAUGGUAGCAGAGCGGUUUGAAUUUUGGUGGGACAAAAUAGGUGGUGGGAUCUCGCUGGGUGUCUGACUAGUUCUUUUCCUGCCUUGCUCGUUUGAGCUUCUGCAGAUUUCAAAAGGGCUGGAGGAAGGCUGGGAAAGACUCCUGAAAGGCAAAGACAAAUGCAGUUCCCGCUCACAAGGAGCCGGCUUGCAGUUUCCAGUGGGCCAUAUUCAUCAGCACCUGAAAUCUAGGACAGCCAGUCAUGGAUGUGUGGGCCCAACUGCUGCUGUGUACAGGCAGCCACUGUGUAGUACCUCCCUGCAGAGGAAUGUACUUGCAUCAGCGGGAAAAGCACCAAAAGACUUAAAGUAAAGUGUAUUACCCCUUGCUAUUUGCAACUUGCUAUUAGUGGAGGUGAAUUG